rnacentral:piRNA from 1 species
ACUAGGGCUUUGGGGUAGUUAGAAG